GAUAUCGUGAAUAUUAUUUAACUACAAGCAUUAUACUCGUAGUAUUUCGAAUUUAAUGAUGUUGUUAUAACGUACGCUUCACCUGUGAAUUAAACCAAUCGACUUCAUCAAGAUACGUACAUAGUACAUCGUUCAGUUCCUGACGAGUUAAACUCCAAUCAUAUUGAUCGGCUACGGAGAUUGAGAAAUUUAUAAAAAAUGGAGUUGAUCAGAUUGAUUUGCGAGUGUUUCGUUUCCCGCGUGCCUCUUUUCUCAUUAUUUCACAUGCACGCUACACAAUUAAACGUUAACCAUGAUCAAACACGUUUCGCAUAGCGCUUCGAAAUGAGCAGCAACUACGCACUUAUGGCACGUGAUUGACUUCGCGAUUGCGAACACGUGCAGUACGAUUAUCGACGCGAUGCAGCGUACACCGAUCGCGAGACGAGUCACACACCGAACGAAAAUACGAGUAAUACGAGUACGAAAAAAAAAAAGGAGAGAAAGAAGAAUAAAGAUUAGAGGAAUAAAAAAGAAUUCAUAUAAGAAAAGCAAGAGGCAGAAGAAUCGCGAGUCGUCGUAUUCAAUUGGAUGGCCAUGGCCGUAUGUAAAGCGAGAAGCAUCGGGGAGAUGAUAGGAUGCAAACGAAGCCGAGCGAAGGAGAUUGAAUGCGUUCGCAGACUGCAAUGGAAGAUGUAAAGCGUGUACGGUUGAAAGUACGAUGGGAUUUCCGCUUUCUAGAAAAUGCAGACGGAGUUCCACAAUGAUGGGUCGUUUCAUGUUCACCGCUCAUUGUUUUCGUCGUACCACGAGGGACUGCUUUUAUGUCAAUACUUCAAAGUGCUAUAACCUACGUGGGGGUAUCAUACGAGGCAAAAGUUACGUGAACCAGAGUCGCACCAUCUUCAUUAUCAUCUUCAGGUGUCUCCGCACGGUAACGUACAAUUUACGUAUGCCAAAGGGCAUCUUUGUAUUUAAGACUUUUUUAAGAGCAUGCACGAGUCAGUUUCCUUGUUAUAUGCAGAGAUACACAGUCUGGUCUUUGCACUUCUUAUUGCGUAUAUUUAAUGAAUUAAAUAUAGUAAAGUAAAUUUGAAAGACAAGUGAAUAAUUUACAUGCAAAAAAUAGAUUUUAUUAAAGAUUCAUUUAAACUUCUUAUUUCUAACCUUUACAACGUUCUACCAAUUUUUUAAUAUAUUUCAGCGUAUGUAAUAAAUGAGAGAUAACAAAAAUGUUCUGAAAUUUAAUAGAAAGGACGUCGAACUUCCAUUUCAUUUUUUAUCUGGUCUGUGUAUCUCUGCUUUUCAUUACAAUGUACAAUCCCGAGGAAAGCGGAACUUUGUGAUGUAUACGCGUACCGAACUAAGCAUUGGUGGAGAAGAGCACUGUCGAUUGCAUCCGCCGACAGGAACACUAAUCACGGGACUCGCUGUCUUUUAAGAUUAUUAAAAUCGUCAAAGCUUCAACGUCCUCAAAGGGUUAAUUACCCUACGGGAUAUUUAUGGCUGGGUUGCUCUCUUCCCUCGCUCGCCAGGGAGCAGAGGCUAUUAAAGAAGGAGCACGCGGACAGAGAAGAGGUAGACUGCGAACUGCCGCGGAAAAGAGCCUUUCUCUUCGUGUGUCAUUGUCAGGGCUUGUAGAUAGAUUGCUCAGACGGUAAUUGAUUUCCUGUGCCGUGUCGAAUAAUUGAACGCUCAAUGUUAUACAGUUUUACUUAAAAGAAAAUAAUAUUUGAUUUAUGUCUAUCAUUCGCGUUCAACGAAUUCUUCAAAACGUUCCAAUGUAAUUUGAAAUUUACAAGCACUAGACUGUCUGUUGUAUUUUCCAAGUUGAAAAUCGCUUCCUAGAUUCUAGUUUAAAUAUACAUGAUCUUUCAAAAUAACUAAAUUUCACAUAACAAACAAAGUUUCGCAUUUGAAGUUCAUUGAUGAAGUAGCGUUUAAUAGUAGGUAAUAACACACGUAAUUUCAACCAUAUUUCAUUGAAAUAAUAUCUUUAACAAAAAAAAAAGAAGAGAAAUAAAUUCUUCAUAAAGAGAAUGCAAUCAUUAAACUUCAACAUACAAUAACUUAUAUUGCGAUUAAUUGUUUUUGUUCUUGUGCUUCACUACAAAAAGAGGAAAGAGAAGAAGGAAAGAGGUAAUGAUAUUGACUCGAUACUCUUGAUAAACUGGUAUGCAAUGGGCCAGGAUGCAAGAAGGCGUAAUAUAUAGAAAUAGAUGCAAAAUGUAAUGUUGUAACGAUAUCUCAGACGUAUAUAUUCUGUAGGAAGCGUACUUAGACGAAGUGCUUACUCGCAAUCGCUUUAAGAGCAAGGACACGCCAACUAUGAAAGGUGUUAAGAGGAACCGCGAACAGGCCAGCUGCGAUAAUGCACUCGUAUAAACGACCGUAUGCCUCAUGCGGAUUAACGCUCGAAGAAAAAGGUUCGCUUGCCGAUGGGCACCAUCGUUACAUUUUAAAAGAGUGCUGUCAUGCUAUUAUGCGGCCGGUGAUAUGAUUCGUUUGCAUUAAACAUUUAUACGUGUUCGUAUCCGUAAAUCGCGAAAAAAUAACGGAAUACUAAAUGCACGAGAUUUCAGCUACCAACGAACGGUUUUAGUUGUCCGGGAAGAAUGUCGUGUAUCGUUCUUGGAAUGUCGUGAUGGGUUCAUAUCGUUUCUUGAGAAGUCCUUUAAGAAAUUGACCGACUAACGUGGUUGCUUUUAGUACUCACGAUUUCAUGCGUGUAAUUUUUAUGAAUUUUGUUAAUCUAAUGCAAGAUUCGCAUUUAAUGCUUAAAUGUGCUUUAGUGCUUUUAUGUUUCUUUCGCUUUUCUUCUUUAAAUUUCCAUUGAGUAUUGCUCCGUUGCAUAUUUGUCUAUUACUUCUAUCUAUUUGCUUUCCAAAAUACGUGAUAAAAAUUUCGGUCACGCAACUAUUUUUCUUCGUUCAAAUAGCAUCUUAUGUAUUAAUUUAUGCGCUCUCUGGUUAAUCGAUUCUUGGUUUAAUUUCACAGUAGAGCAAGUUAUACGAUCUCGAGCGACGACAUUAACGAGACGACGAAUUGUCUCCUAUUCUGUAGACGCGUUUCAGUAUGUUUAAUGCGCCACUAACUUCGGAAUGACGUGAAUUACACGGGUGACGUUCGUCUGUACAGGAUCGUUCACAACGGAAUCUAAUUUUCGUGUAAAAAGAGAAUAACGAAACCAGACGUACGUAUUUAAAAUCUGGAUUUGAAAAUACGAAACACAAAUUCGAAUAUGAAAAUUCAAAAUCUGAAUUUGAAUUUAAGAGUAUAAUAAUUAAAAUACUGCGGAUGCAACAGAUUUCUCGAACCAAUAAACAAUCUGAAUUUAAAAAUAUAAAACUUAAGAUACAACAAAUGUGUGGAAUCACAAAAUUAAUAAAUAAACUGGCUUUCUUUUAGAUAUCGAAGCAUAUAAAUUAAAAUACAAUGGACAUCAGUUUCCAACUCAAUAAGCAAACCGAACGUAUAACAGCAUGGCGCACCAUCAUUUGCAAUGGAAAGUAUCGUCGAUGGCUAACAAUACUACCGAUAAAUUUCUAGCAGCGUACAAAUAUCUUAAUAACACGUAUUGCUAAAUUAUACUCGUAUACCUUCCCAUUUGUCAAAAGACUAAAAAACACUUUUUUCUCAUCACGCGCCUCAAUUUGCAGCAACCUGUAAGCGCAUAUUCAAAGCUGCCAUUUCCAAGAAAGGUUUCCCUUAUCGCAGCGAGCAAGAGAUGCCGGUCGACAUAACGUUUGGAACCCUCGUCCGUCGUACUAAACGUUCCUAAAUGAAUCGUUAAUCGUUAACGGCGUGGCGUUACGACUCUCAGGCUCGCUUAUAAACCGGAAAUUCGUUGGUCGAAUGUCCAACUGUCCAAAUCGUUCGGCAGCGAAGCUCUUCCGGUCAAUAAAGUCAGGCCUCGUUUAUUGCUAAAAGAGACCUAGCAGGUCCUGGUUGUUUCUGACCCAUCAUUAAAGCGUACGUUAAGCGCACUGUUUUUUCAUUUCGUUAAAUCGUUCCGACCUCUGCCCCCUCGACGCUGCUUCUCUCGUUUCUCUAUAUGUAAUCGUUUCUGGUUCCCGGUUCCACCGAGCGAGACUCGUAGGAUCGUCGAAAGGUUGUAAACGGUCGCUCAUCCAAUACGGAAUGUCGACUACGAACGGAAUAGCCCGGAUUCCUGACUUUAUUAAGCCUUCGGUUUAUGCGGAACAUUUUGAACGUUGACCCACGUGCAGCAUCGGAAACAAAGCCUACGCGGUUCGGAGAAGCUACGGGUUCGACUUGGAUUUUCACGAGGAGCAUAAAAGCGUGCACGGGGUUGACUCGCGAUGAUAAAAACGAUUACACUCGAGCAAACGGCCUGCUCAUUUAAUCGUCGUAGUUAACGCGUCUCGCGGUAUGGUUUCACGGAUGAAAUUCGCCGUGACAGACUAACGUUUGUCGGUUAAUUCUCCUUUUCUUUUUUCUUGCGUUUGCAUAUGGUGGAAAAAAGAAAGAUAAAAUUAGAAAAUUACACGGAAACCGCAGAGCGUGACAAUUCGAUUCAUUUGUACGCUUGUGCAACGAAGAAGGGACUUUAAUGCUAUUUAUGAGACACAGAGGUCUCGUAGAUUUAUAGUAUUCUAUAUUGUACAUGAUAUUUUAUGGAAUAACGGACAAUAUGAGUAUAUUGCGCGACAGGUUUAUAGGUUUAUUAGCUCUUUUAUACGGCAGAAGAAAAUUCUAACUCGGUUUUUGCGUCUCCGAACCUCUUGGCUUUUUUGCGCCCUUUCGGUUAUCCAGUGGAUGCAAGCACAUUUAACCCGGUCGCGCCCCAAAUAAUCGUAAAAUUUGAUAAUUAAAUUUAAUCGCACCUCUUUAAUGGCCCUUCGUCGUUGCCAUUGUGUUCGUCCACACAGCGUUUACUGCGAUGCUCGAUUACACGAAGCUUUGAAACAUAUGCUUUAUAUACCUCGUCUUCGAACGAUGAUACGCCAUUACGUUUCUGACACGUCAUUAACUUCGUUAGUGCUUACGACGUAAGCCGUUGGAGGAACGUGAACUCGCCUAAAUCGAAACCGUUGCUACGCCGCGAUAAAAGUUCUCGUAAUCGUAACGUUGGAAUAUUUCUGUUUUUUUUUUUAUUUCGUAGCGAAUUGAACGCGGUACGGUCUCAACUAACAUCUCUUAAAAUAGCAGCUAUGAGGAACGCAGUUCCUAGUGUACGUUAUUAAUGUAUCAUAUUAUAGUCGGUAUUCCAUUAGACGGUGUCGGUCGUUGAUACAGCGGCAACGUAUAUUUUCCAUGGUAUUGGUCAUUCGUCUUGAAACACGUGGUCAUCGCGCAAGUUGUCGCGACUCGAAGCAGGUUUCGAUUAACCGACGCGACGUCUCGUUGAUUCUGGCGAAAAAUACGAUUGAAAUUGCGUGUUCGUUUCUUGCAUGCUGUUUCACCGUGGCUAGCUGCUUUUUUAUGCGGGAAAUGAAAGCAGCGUGAAAGGGGAUAUCCGUUUAAAGCUUGUUGGCAGAAACGAGAAAAGUAAAAGAAAGAGAAUAAAGCGAGAGAGAAAAAGAAGGGGAAAAGAAACGAUACGUCCGGAACGCAAUUUGUACUGUGUCAUACAGUCAGGGGUCGUUGUAUUAACAACGCGACAGAAAACUUAUCGCAACGCUUAAAAGCACUAGCCUGAGUAUUAAGCGUCGCGAUACUACUCGAGCAAUCUUGUCUUGCUAAAUGCUAGAGUGCACGUAAUUCCAUGGAAGAUAUUGGAUAACCCUCGAGUGCAUCGUCGACCGUAAACGGGCACCGGGAGGGUUAACUACGUGGAAUAUAUCUUUAUCGUCGGUGAAAACGUGCGUAUCACGGUGAUAGUUCAUUUUCGACGUGGAAGAGUGCUUCAUCGGGGAUCGCCAAUUAAAACGUCGUACUGCCAACAAUGCCGUAGAAUGGAGCCCGCAAUUCCGCGCUUCAUCGACGUGGGUUUUUGAUGGCGGAGACCGCGCCCGCCGUCGAACCUCUGCAACACAACGGGUCCAGGAUCACCGUGCGUAUAUACGCGUGCACACCGAUAUGGAAACGCAGCGUGUACCAGCGUGACGCGGCGUGUGGUUGUAAGAGUCGGUACAAUGGAGCAGAAAACAAGAGACGGUCGGGACUUCAAAGUGCCGGAUGUUAUGGAGUGAGAACGCUACUGGAUCCGGCACAGUCUGAUAAUCAUCUCUACCAAAUACUUUGUAAUCGUUAAUUACGGCGCAGCAUCGACGACGCUUUGGGCAAAAGAUCAGUCACUCGGUGGUGCGCAGGGGUGGUAAGCAACGAAAGAACGAAGGGUUUUAUAGUCUUUUAUAUCGUAAAGAACGGCACAGAUAUAUGUAUAUUUCAAGUCCUCUGUAGGCUUCAGAUUCGGGUCCUUUUGAGUCGAGCAACCCCUUAUUCAGCACUUCGCCUUCUUUAACCGACGGGUAUUACCGAUUAUUUCUCGUGAGUCUACUUUCCCUCUGAAUGCGCGUUUUCCAUUGCGCGAUUCUUAAUAAGGUGCGCUUUGUAUCAAGGGCUCGGAAGCAGCGACUUUUACGCCGGCGAUAGGAAAGUUAAAUAUGUUCAGUUUUGUAAGCGGCGUGAUACAUUUUUUCCGUUUCAACCAUCUUGCGCUGCAUUUAUUAAUUUUCAAGCUUUCGAAAUUUGCUUCGGCGAAUUAUAACGAGGCAAUGGGAGAAACAGGGCAUGUUAUCCAAAGUUAUAUUUCCACUAAAAGCGCAACUUUCGAGUCAGAUUUGACGAAUGUUUCUUCCAAGCGAGAUGAAUUAUAAAAGCGGUCUGUCACGACCUCGAAACAUCCCGUUUAUUUUAAACGCAUAAAUCUUCGUUCGGGCAAAAGAUGGUAGUGAUUCAAAAGGAAAUAGUCGAAUUUAUCGUGGAUGUUUAAAUCGUUGGAGCUGUCAAGUCGCGGCAGUGCACGGUACGUCAAGUUGCGAGCCAGGAUCAAAUGAGGCGUCGGAAGAUUUCGCGAAAAUUUUUCUCGAACCCCAUGAAAACUGUUCCUUUUUUUCCUGCCGAAGGGGCGUAACGCUCGGGUAAAUGAAGCGCACUGGAAAAGGAAUCGCCGGAGGAGAGAAAGGCUCUGCUAAAUAUUCGAAUGCUCGAGUGCAUUCAAAGUGGUGCUUAGACUCGGUACGCGGCUAUCAUUCUCCGCUAUAUUUUAAGUCUUUCUAUGCGUGCAUUGUCUUUUAUCACACGUAUAUUUCAAGCCAUUUCUUCGACGUAUAUGCAUCUCCGUGUAAAAUGCGAGGAAUAAGCAUCGUAAGUGCAUUUCAUUCUCCUUUAUGGUAGAACGAAUCGUUUCAUUAAGUUGACUGAUUUAAUUACCACUUAUCGAACGCGCAACAUUCAUUACGAUGAUGCAAAGCGUGAAUAAUUAUACCCUGGUUCUUUGAAUGUUUGUGCGUAUGAAGUGUAAUUUUUAAUUGCCUGUAGUUUCUUCGAUGUGUCGUACAGUUGAUCGGAGUGAUUUAUUCGUACGUGGUUUUAUCAAUCAAUUUCGCAGCUUCAUUUUGCAUAUCUUUAAGAAUUAUCUUAGUAUCGUGGACAAGGGGC